rnacentral:SRP_RNA from 1 species
UGCCAGGCACUUACCGGCAAGUUUUUACCCAAUCCCGCCAGGUCCGGAAGGAAGCAACGGUCAGUAAUUAACUUGGGUGGAUAGGUGCUUGGCAUUU